rnacentral:rRNA from 1 species
AUGUGAUCGUCUCUCGCAUAUCAAUAAGCGGAGGAAAAGAAACUAACAAGGAUUCCCCUAGUAACGGCGAGUGAAGCGGGAAGAGCUCAAAUUUGAAAUCUUAAAGGGUUUCCCUUUACGAAUUGUAGUUUAAAGAAGUGUUUUCUGUUGAGGUUUUGGUAAAAGUUCUUUGGAAUAGGACAUCAUAGAGGGUGAGAAUCCCGUAUUUGACCUUUACUUUCAAUUUUGUGAUACACUUUCAAAGAGUCGGAUUGUUUGGGAAUGCAGUCCAAAAUGGGUGGUAAAUUUCAUCUAAAGCUAAAUAUUGGCGAGAGACCGAUAGCGAACAAGUACCGUGAGGGAAAGAUGAAAAGAACUUUGAAAAGAGAGUUAAACAGUACGUGAAAUUGUCAAAAGGGAAGCGUUUGACACCAGUGUUGUUUUUCUGAAAAUCAAUUAAAGAACUGUUUAUGCUAAGCUGUUUAGACUUUAUCAGCUAUCUGUUUAGUUUUGAGCUUUUCUUUAAUGCACUUUUCAGUUAACAAGUCAACAUCAAUUUCUUUUGCUGUAAAAAAGCUUGAGGAAGGUGGCUUGAGAUUCGUCUUAAGUGUUUAUAGCCUCUUGCCUAUGCAGUCGGAGAGAUUGAGGUCUGCAGCGUAGAUCCUUCGGGGCUAAAUGCAUUUGUGCUAAGUUAUAGCAUUUUAUAGACAACUUGUUGACUAUGAUUUGUCUUGUAGCUUACUCGCUUAUGUUAUUUUACCUACGCUUAGGAUGUUGAGCGCAUGUCUCUCUCU